UACGAAGGGGGCUAGCGUUGUUCGGAAUUACUGGGCGUAAAGCGCGCGCAGGCGGUUCUUCAAGUCAGAGGUGAAAGCCCAGAGCUCAACUCUGGAAUGGCCUUUGAGACUAGAGAACUAGGGUACGGGAGAGGUGAGUGGAAUUCCGAGUGUAGAGGUGAAAUUCGUAGAUAUUCGCAAGAACACCAGUGGCGAAGGCGGCUCACUGGCCCGGUACUGACGCUGAGGUGCGAAAGCGUGGGGAGCAAACAGG
rnacentral:rRNA from 1 species